CACGUAGGAGGCAAGCGUUGUCCGGAAUCAUUGGGCGUAAAGAGCUCGUAGGCGGCUCAGUAAGUCGGGUGUGAAACCCCCAGGCUCAACCUGGGGACGCCACCCGAUACUGCUGUGGCUAGAGUCCAGUAGGGGAGUGUGGAAUUCCCGGUGUAGCGGUGAAAUGCGCAGAUAUCAGGAGGAACACCAGCGGCGAAGGCGGCACUCUGGGCUGGUACUGACGCUGAGGAGCGAAAGCGUGGGUAGCAAACAGG
rnacentral:rRNA from 1 species